ensembl:snRNA RNU6-1279P RNA, U6 small nuclear 1279, pseudogene
GUGCUCGCUGCGGCAGCACAUUUACUAAAAUUGGAACGAGACAGAGAUUAGCACGGCCCCUGUGCAAGGGUGACAUGCAGUUCGUGAAGGGUUUCAUAUGUUU